UACGUAGGGAGCGAGCGUUGUCCGGAAUUACUGGGUGUAAAGGGUGCGUAGGCGGGUAUGCAAGUCAGAUGUGAAAUCUCCGGGCUUAACUCGGAGCGUGCAUUUGAAACUGCAUGUCUUGAGGACAGGAGAGGCAAGCGGAAUUCCCAGUGUAGCGGUGAAAUGCGUAGAUAUUGGGAGGAACACCAGUGGCGAAGGCGGCUUGCUGGACUGUAACUGACGCUGAGGCACGAAAGCGUGGGGAGCAAAC
rnacentral:rRNA from 1 species